AAGUAAAAGGGUAAAAAAUAAAUUAGAUACCCAAGGAUUAUUAUCCAAAGAUACUCCAAAUACACCUUAUGAUGAAUUCAGUUCCCUUCAGCAAACAAAAUUUAAAUAUUCCUUACAAAAGAGAAGAAUAAAGAUGAUUCACCCGAGAGUAACUGAUGCCCAGCUGCUAGCACAAUUCCUUAAGACAUGAAAGUCUUUGGUUAAUGUUCAGUUUGCCUGAUUCAGUGCAUGGGAAGAAAUGCAGUCUUCCUAACUCAAAGUACUGUGAGAUGAGAAUGAUCCUUUUUCUGUGCAAUGAUAAACAGGGUGAUCAUGUAUGGUGGGUUAUCACCAACUGGAGGAGAACUGGAGUACACAUAAUGCUGUGGAAGGGUGACAGUGCUUCCUUGAGGGUAGGCAAAGUGGGAUAUGCCUGAGCCACAGCAUCUCACAGCAUUUAUUUGGUAAAGGAGGACACAACCCUCAAGUAGCUCUGUGAACUUAGCCUUUCAUUUCCUUGGCUUCCAUUACAAUGCACAAACCCAAAACAUUUAGAAACGUCAAAACAGUUCAUUUUGACAUUUUCAAAAUGAAGCAUUUCAACAUUGUGUUGAAACGUUUUUGUCAGUUUUGUUUCUACUCAGAGAAUUUGUCAAAUAGUUCCAGCCACUCUGAAACUUCUUUGUUCAGAAAUAAAUGCUGCAUUGAUUUUUCCCUUUUUUGUUCAGCUUUGAUUUUCAAGUAGCUUAGCCACUACCCUACUUAUGCCUGGUAAAAUUUUUUGUUCUAGUUCAUUUCAAAUUGCAAUUUAACGUAAAAGGCUUAUUGCAAUAUGCAAUGCUAAAGACCGUUUAGUCAACACAAACCCUAUAGAUGUUUAGGAGAUCCUAUGAUGUUUAGAAGAACACAAGAUGUGUAACAUUUUGCUAAUUGAAUAAGUCAGGUUUUAUUAGUUAGCAGCAUCCUUCCAUUUCCCACUAAAGUCAAUAUAUUUACAUAUAUAUAAAGCUUCAAUUUACAGGCUGUAAACAGCCAAAAUAUUGCAAUGCAAUUAAUAAUUGCUAGUGUAUUUACAUGGAAAUUAUUCAGCAAUUGAUAUUUUACAGGAAAGUGUAACAGGUAGGUUUGGUCUCACAAGGUAAUCUUCUGAACAACUUACUUCCUAGAGCUCAGAAGCACCGGACUUCGGAACACAGCUUCACAUUGGUAUAAGGUUAUAAUCUACCAUUUUGAAAAAAAUACCUCUAUACCUGUAGAUGUAUUUUUCACUUAGCCUUGUUAAACCACAGACUGUAGCUUUGAGUCAACAGUAGACAAACGAAAAGGACCACAAUGAUCAUUGAGUUUCAACCGCCCUGCUAUGUGCAGGGUCGCCAACCACCAGACCAGGCUGCCCAGAGCCACAUCCAGCCUGGCCUCGAAUGACUCCCGGGAUGGGGCAUCCACAACCUCCUUUUUGCAAAUAAAAUAAUUUGCAAAUAAAUGCCAUGCUCUUAUGGUUAAUGUGGUUUGUCUAGAGAACAGAGCAGAAAUGCCAGUUUCAUACCUUCCUAUAGCAGGAAAAGAGUUUUAAAAUGUGUUUUGCAAGCUUUUCUGAAACAUUCUUAUACAUACAAAAGAACCUGGCAGAGACUGUAUAAAUGAUGGCAUAAGAGCACAUGCAGUCAGGCUAGCUAACUGGUAACUAGCUGAAAAGUCAACUUAAAUCCCAGACUAAAGGUUCUCCUGACCCUUUUCAGCCAUGCUCAAACAUGAGCACACGCUUCUCAACACAUAGCUACCUCUUCCUUUCAAUAGAUGCGUGCUGACUAAAGUAGCAGUAGUAUUUUGAAAUAUAAAGAGAGAUGGAACUUGAGGCUGCUUAAAGACAUACUCAGUGUUAAACAAGGAAAAUAAAAAACAAAAUAAAAUUUAGUUAUUGAAACCACUGGAAAUUCAUAAUCAGUUUUAUUAAUGUUACUAUUAUUAAUCCUCUUCACUGGGGUUACUUUGCUGAUUCUGUAAUUAUCAUUAUCAAUAUCUCUUCCAUUGAAAUGACAGAAAAAAUAAAGAAAGCAGAAGAUUUUGUUCUGAAUAGAAGAAAACAAGUCUCCAUUACAACCAUGCUCUAAUGCCUAAUGAAGUCAAGGGGCAAUUCCACAGUCUUCAAGGUCCUCGGGUAUUCAGUUCCUAAAUUAAACUCUCAGCAGCAAUUUUCCUAUGAUCUACUCAAGCUUCAGUGCUUCAUAGAGGUGUAUAUAUAAGUAUAUAAUAUAUAUAUAAAAUACAUCUAAUCAUGUUUAUCAUGUUAGCAAUUAUGCAUUUUAUCAACUUUAUUAUUAUUUUUUUGUAUCCUCAAUGAAAUCUUGCAGUCUUACAAAUCAGGAAAUUUUGCAAAUAUGAGCUGUACCUGGAAAUCACUGCAGAACAUUGGAGAAAGGCUGGAGAUCAUAAAACACAAAGGCUCAGCCCCAGCUUGCAGGGUUUGAGGCUUGGAGACAUCAUCACAGUCUGCAAUGAGGAGGAAGACAUUUGUGUGACUGAAUCAUAAAGAUAUUUUGUGUUUCUCAAAACUACGUGAUUACUCAGGAAUUUCAGUAUUGAGCACAUUCUCAGCUGUGUUUGGGAUCAGCAUCCUAUGUUGCCACUGAUAUUUUCUCCAGAAAUGUACACUAGUAUAGUCCUCUAUAAUCAAUAAUCAGAAGGGACGUCUGCAAUAAAAUUAAAUUUGCUAACUGAAAU
ensembl:lncRNA